CCUACGGGUGGCAGCAGUCGGGAAUAUUGCGCAAUGGAGGAAACUCUGACGCAGUGACGCCGCGUAUAGGAAGAAGGUUUUCGGAUUGUAAACUAUUGUCGUUAGGGAAGAUAAAAGACUGUACCUACGGAGGCAGCCCCGGCUAACUAUGUGCCAGCAGCCGCGGUAAUACAUAGGGGGCAAGCGUUAUCCGGAAUUAUUGGGUUUAAAGGGUGCGCAGGCGGAGGUGCAAGUCAGCGGUCAAAUUGCGGGGCUCAACCCCGUACUGCCGUUGAAACUGCAUCCCUUGAGUGCGCGAGAGGUAUGCGGAAUGCGUGGUGUAGCGGUGAAAUGCAUAGAUAUCACGCAGAACGCCGAUUGCGAAGGCAGCAUACCGGCGCGCAACUGACGCUCAUGCACGAAAGCGUGGGUAUCGAACAGGAUUAGAUACCCGGGUAGUC
rnacentral:rRNA from 1 species